rnacentral:rRNA from 1 species
UACGGAGGGGGCGAGCGUUAUUCGGAAUUAUUGGGCGUAAAGGGCGCGUAGGCGGCCCCUUAAGUCAAAGGUGAAAUCCCUCGGCUCAACUGAGGAACUGCCUUUGAAACUGAUGGGCUUGAGGCCGGGAGGGGGUAGCGGAAUUCCCAGUGUAGCGGUGAAAUGCGUAGAUAUUGGGAGGAACACCAAUGGCGAAGGCGGCUACCUGGACCGGUUCUGACGCUGAUGCGCGAAAGCGUGGGUAGCAAACAGG